ensembl:lncRNA
ACACACAGUUGAAAAAAAUUAAUUGUUAUCAAAUCUGUCAGUUUUAUUUUUAUAUAAUUUGAAAUCUACAUUUCUGAGUGUAGCGAUGUCUGCUCUAAACACUAACAGGAAUGGUAUGGCUAAAUCCCAAAACACUAACAGUAAUGGUAUGGCUAAAUCCCAAAACACUAACAGGAAUGGUAUGGCUAAAUCCCAAAACACUAACAGUAAUGGUAUGGCUAAAUCCCAAAACACUAACAGUAAUGGUAUGGCUAAAUCUCAAAACACUAACAGGAAUGGUAUGGCUAAAUCCCAAAACACUAACAGUAAUGGUAUGGCUAAAUCCCAAAACACUAACAGUAAUGGUAUGGCUAAAUCUCAAAACACUAACAGUAAUGGUAUGGCUAAAUCCCAAAACACUAACAGUAAUGGUAUGGCUAAAUCCCAAAACACUAACAGUAAUGGUAUGGCUAAAUCCAAAACACUAACAGUAAUGGUAUGGCUAAAUCCCAAAACACUAACAGUAAUGGUAUGGCUAAAUCCAAAACACUAACAGUAAUGGUAUGGCUAAAUCCCAAAACACUAACAGUAUAUGUAUUUAUUGCAAUUCCCCACUGUGGGACUCAUGCUUGGUGCUGUCCCUUGUGAGUGAUUUCCCCAGUUUUGCCUCUGUGAGUGAAGCAGCCUCUGUGAGGGAAGCAGUCUGCAUGAGUGAAGCAGCCUGUGAAUGAUUUUACUCCCAGACAGCAUGGCUGGGUACUCAUCCAGGCAAGCCCAGGGGGACGAGGCAGAAAUAGCGGCACUGCUUCAGCUCAUUCAGGCCCUGGUAAACACUUUACCCCGACCAACAGUCAGACUGUCUCCAUCAAUCCAGACCCUUUAUAUGACCCCUAUAAUGAAAUGUCCUCUUCUUACCUUUCUGACCUUAUGUUAUCACAGUCUAUUCUCCUCUUCCUCUUGACUAAGUAAGUGUUUUUAUUGACGAGGUUGCCAUUGCCGUUGUGAUGGAAAUGGUAUUAUGUCUUUGAACAAAUAAGAGCUGACACUGAUGCCCUGAUGACACGGGACAUAUCUCCGUGUCUGUCUGUAUGCUGUGUCUCUGUCAAUCACAUUCUAACACUUAAUGUCAUCGUCGAUACCCAGAAUCAAAGGGGACAGCGUCAUUCCUGCGUAUCCAUGGAAGCCAUCCCCUAUAUCACGCAAAGGAUGUGUACGAGAUGUGAAUUCUCUCUCUCCCUCUAUUUGGGCCCUUGAAGUCUUGCCAGCUCCACUCAGACUGCAGUACAGGUCUACAGAGCAAGAGCAGAACGAAACACUCCUUUCAAGAGCCAGAAGAGCACUGGGACUGGCAGCACAAGGCCUUCUGAAUAAACUCUAUCACUCCUCUGGAUUCAUCAGGAAUAUUUCUGCCAACACAGUACUCACACAAGGGCACUUUAUGUCAUGAUGGUGAGGGGCAAUGUUGCCCAAGGUUUACUGGGGAUUUCUGUGUGCUGUGAUGGUUCAUGAGUCUUUUUAAUCAGGAGAGAGUAAGAUGAGACAUGCAGUCGUUUAUCCAUUUGCUUAAAUGACUGAAAUGAGCCAGACAAGGAUUUGAAUGAAGUUCUUCUCGUUCUGACAAGGAGAGCCCUGUCAGCCAGUACAGAUGUAUAGUUUAUCAGAGAGCUGUCUCCUGCCAGUAAAAAAUAAAUAACUCAAUGUGAUGUGUUAUCUAACCCAGCUGAGAGUCCUUUUGGGGUCUGGGCCUCUCGCUCCCUCUUAUCUGCAGGCCUGGUCAGGAUUGCCCCUAGCACUAUACACCUGAUUCCACUAAUCAAAGGUUUGAUGGUGAGUUGAUUAGUGGAAUUAGGUGUGUAAUGCUAGGGGGAAACCUAAAAUGUACGCGACCUUUCAAAAGUUUGGGGUCACUUGGAAAUGUCCUUGUUUUUGAAAGAAAAGCACAUUUAUUUGGUCCAUUAAAAUAACAUCAAAUUGAUCAUAAAUACAGUGUAGACAUUGUUAAUCUUGUAAAGGACUAUUGUAGUUGGAAAUGGCAGAUUUUUAAUGGAAUAUCUACAUAGGUGUACAGAGGCCCAUUAUCAGAAACCAUCACUCCUGCGUUCAAACGGCACGUUGUGUUAUCUAAUCCAAGUUUAUCAUUUUAAAAGGCUAAUUGACCAUUAGAAAACCCUUUUGCAAUUAUGUUGCACAGCUGAAAACGGUUGUGCUGAUUAAAUAACUAAUAAAACUGUCCUUCUUUAGACUAUUUGAGUAUCUGGAGCAUCAGCAUUUGUGGGUUUGAUUAGAGGCUCAAAAUGGCCAGAAACAAAGUACGUUCUUCUGAAACUGGUCAGUCUAUUCUUGUUCUGAGAAAUGAAGGCUAUUCCACUCGAGAAAUUGUCAAGAAAUUGAAGAUCUCGUACAACGCUGUGUACUACUCCCCUCACAGAACAGCACAAACUGUCCCUGUCACAUGAGUUGACGCUGGAGAGACGAAGCAGGUACGGGGAGUAACAUUUAAUAAAUAAUGGACAUAAAACAAGACAGGAAGAACGUCCUCAAACAGAAAACACAGACAAAAACAAUCAUUGCAGCAGCGGGGAACAGAGCAGGGAACUGACAAAUAUAGGGGAGGAAAUAAACAGGUGAUAAAUGAGUCCAGGUGAGUCCAAUAACGCUGAAGCGAGUGACGAGUGAGGGCAGGUGAGCGUGAUGGAGGGCAGGUGAGCGUGAUGGAGGGCAGGUGAGCGUGAUGGAGGGCAGGUGAGCGUGAUGGAUGGCAGGUGAGCGUGAUGGAGGGCAGGUGAGCGUGAUGGAGGGCAGGUGAGCGUGAUGGAGGGCAGGUGAGCGUGAUGGAGGGCAGGUGAGCGUGAUGGAGGGCAGGUGAGCGUGAGUGAGGGCAGGUGAGCGUGAUGGAUGGCAGGUGAGCGUGAUGGAGGGCAGGUGAGCGGCAUGGCGUGAUGGUGAGCGUGAUGCAAGGCAAUCUGGCGCCCUCAACUGCCAGGGGGAGGGAAGAGCGGGAGCAGAUGUGACAGUCUCUAACCAGAAUAGAAAGAGAAGUGACAACUGAGCGAGAGGACAAGCACAUUAGAGUGUCUAGUUUGAGAAACAGACGCCUCACAAAUCCUCGACUGGCAGCUUCAUUAAAUAGUACCCACAAAACACCAGUCUCAACAUUAACAGUGAAGAGACGAUUCCGGGAUGUUGGCCUUCUAGGCAGAGCUGCAAAGAAAAACAAGGACAUUUCUAAGUGACCCCAAACUUUUGAACAGUAGUUUAGGUCCACAGGACCAUGGGACCAUUAUUCUGAUUCAACUUUUUAAAGAAAUUUGCUCUUGUUAGUUGAGAGGGCUGGUUGUGUAUAAUGUGCUGUUGCUGAGGGCUGUUAGGUAUUAGACUCAGAGGUCUUUGUGUCUCUCUCUCUCCAGUCCAUUCUUUCUCCAGUCCAUUCUUUCUCCAGUCCAUUCUUUCUCCAGUCCAUUCUUUCUCCAAUCCAUUUUUUCUCCAGUCCAUUUUUUCUCCAGUCCAUUCUUUGUCCAGUCUUUUCUUUGUCCAGUCUUUUCUUUCCCCAGUCUUUUCUUUCUCCAGUCCAUUCUUUCUCCAGUCCAUUCUUUCUUUUUUCUUU